UCAAAAUGGGAAAGUCCCUGUUAACCGGAUAUGCUCAAGGGUGCGCUUUAGACCAUACUGAAGAACAGCUCGGUUGCCAGCUCUAAAACCAUCGCCAUAGGCCAUUGAGGUAUCUGACUCAAUUUGGUGCUUGAAAAAAUCACCAAGCUUUCGCUCAAACUGAGAUCUUCCCCCCUUUUUCGAUGAUGUGGAUGCUGAUGAGGAUGAAGACGUUGAAGCACCAUUACUGCCUGAUCCUGCAAUGAUCUCUGACUCAAUCCACAUGUGAGCAAGAACUUGGCAUAUGCCCUCUUCUACGUCUGGACUAAGUGUGCGAUAUCCUGCAAGUAGAUAUGCAUUAUAGCAUGAAAUAAUUAAAAAUUACCUUUAAGUCGCAACCACGCAUGCAUCAUCUCAUGAGCUAAAAUUGAACCUUGGUUCACCUUGGGAGACCAUAAAGAAUGAGAAUUGCAGUCACUUCACAUCGACGAGUCAACCUAUAUGGCUCCGUUAUCAUUUCCAUAACUUUAUUUCCAGCCAUUCUUGAAUAGUUCUCACCGUGCUGACAGUUUGCUCUUCUGAUAAGCAUAAACCUCUUGUUUCUGGAAGAUGGUGGUGACCCUGUCUUCUCUCCUUCCAUGGCUUCAUUUAAAGCCUGUCUUUCUACAAGAAGCAAGGGAACUUGUUGUUCCACUUUCAUAUUUAGGCCUUCAUAAAAUUCCUGUAUUUCAAGAUAAAGAGGUUGGCACUCGCUCGUAUCCAUAACUGCAGAAUCAAGGCACUCCAGGCAGAGUUUGCGACCAUCGUCCAGCAAUACAUAUCUUGAUUCCCUUGGCUCCAUUCUUUCACAACUACAGCAUCUUGGAGUACCGUCCACCUCAUGUGAUGGACAGUAUUUUUGUAACCAGAAAGGAUGUGCUCUAUAUUCAAUCAGGCCAUUCAUAUUUCGACUCUUACAAAUUGCUUGCAGACAUCACAUUUUGGGUGAAAGCGCUCCUUGUAGCAUGUUUUAUGGUAUGGAUGGUUUCCCGACAUGGAGAACUGCAUAGAGUUACCUCAUAGUCAUAUAUUGGUUGAUUACAAGCAUGACAGCGAAAACAUUCUGGAUGCCAAACAGCUCCCAUGCAACUAAGGAAACGCCCAUGACCAAUCUCACUGUGACAUCCGGCACAAGUCCUGAGGAAAUAAGCAAGAAAACAUAAAUGGCAGUGGUUGAUACAUAUUGCCACCAUUGGCGUUGCCAUUUUCACGAGCACGAGGAGGCGAUUCAACAUUCAAACUUUCCUGGAUAGCUCUUGCAAGUUGUUCAUCCUCCUCCAAAUGCAUUUACCAUACUAACCUAUUGCCUUUGCCUUUCUUUGUUCCUCCUCUAAUAGAGAGAGUGAUAUAGCACGAGCGAUAUCUUCAUUGUCAAAUUCUGACGGGACAUCCUAAAUUGAAUUUGAAAAUAGAUCAGCUACAUAGUCAAAAGAUGUAGAUU
rnacentral:sRNA from 1 species